UACGUUGGUGGCGACCGGCGCACGGGUGAGUAACGCGUAUCGCAACCUACCGUAUCAGAGGGGGAAUAACCCGGCGAAAGUCGGACUAAUACCGCAUAAAACAGGGACACCGCAUGGUGAUAUUUGUUAAAGAAAUUCGCUGAUAGAUGGGCAUGCGUUCCAUUAGGUAGUUGGUGAGGUAACGGCUCACCAAGCCGACGAUGGAUAGGGGAACUGAGAGGUUGGUCCCCCACACUGGUACUGAGACACGGACCAGACUCCUACGGGAGGCAGCAGUGAGGAAUAUUGGUCAAUGGGCGAGAGCCUGAACCAGCCAAGUCGCGUGAAGGAAGAAGGAUCUAUGGUUCGUAAACUUCUUUUGCAGGGGAAUAAAGUGCAGGACGUGUCCUGUUUUGUACGUACCCUGAGAAUAAGGAUCGGCUAACUCCGUGCCAGCAGCGGC
rnacentral:rRNA from 1 species